rnacentral:rRNA from 1 species
UCGCUACUACCGAUUGAACGUCUUAGUGAGUUCCGAGGAUUCGGUCUUUUCGGGUUUCCCGUUUAGAUCGGAGAGCAGGUGCAAACUUGAACGUUUAGAGGAAGUAA